rnacentral:rRNA from 1 species
AGAGUUUGAUCAUGGCUCAGGACGAACGCUGGCGGCGUGCUUAACACAUGCAAGUCGAGCGAUGAAACACCUUCGGGUGUGAAUUAGCGGCGAACGGGUGAGGAACACGUGAAGAAUCUGCCUUCAACUCUGGGAUAACUCCGGGAAACCGGGGCUAAUACCGGAUAUGAGCCUUGAUCGCAUGAUCGGGGCUGGAAAGUUUUUCGGUUGAAGAUGACUUCGCGGCCUAUCAGCUUGUUGGUGAGGUAAUGGCUCACCAAGGCGACGACGGGUAGCCGGCCUGAGAGGGCGACCGGCCACACUGGGACUGAGACACGGCCCAGACUCCUACGGGAGGCAGCAGUGGGGAAUAUUGGGCAACGGAGGAAACUCUGACCCAGCGACGCCGCGUGAGGGAUGAAGGCCUUCGGGUUGUAAACCUCUUUCAGUAGGGAAGAAGCGAAAGUGACGGUACCUACAGAAGAAGCACCGGCUAACUAUGUGCCAGCAGCCGCGGUAAUACAUAGGGUGCAAGCGUUGUCCGGAAUUAUUGGGCGUAAAGAGCUCGUAGGUGGUUCGAUACGUCGGAUGUGAAAAUCAGGGGCUCAACCCCUGACCUGCAUCCGAUACGGUCGAGCUGGAGUUUGGUAGGGGAGACUGGAAUUCCUGGUGUAGCGGUGGAAUGCGCAGAUAUCAGGAGGAACACCGAUGGCGAAGGCAGGUCUCUUGGCCAAUACUGACACUGAGGAGCGAAAGCGUGGGGAGCGAACAGGAUUAGAUACCCUGGUAGUCCACGCCGUAAACGGUGGGCGCUAGUUGUGCGAACCUUCCACGGUUUGUGCGACGCAGCUAACGCAUUAAGCGCCCCGCCUGGGGAGUACGAUCGCAAGAUUAAAACUCAAAGGAAUUGACGGGGCCCCGCACAAGCAGCGGAGCAUGCGGCUU